rnacentral:rRNA from 1 species
GUUAACAAUAGAAAAGAACGUGCUUUCCUCACACAUAUGGGCACUACUCCCAACUCAGCUCACAAUUUUGCAAUUGUGUGUUACGAAAACCUGAAAGGUAAAAUGAAUCAUGUUGAUGAGGUGAUUAGAAAGCAAACAAAGAAGAUGGUUCUUGAUGCAAGACUAGGGCUAAAGACUACCAUUGAUGUCAUGAGGAGAAUAAUUUGA